rnacentral:rRNA from 1 species
UAACACGUAGGGUGCAAGCGUUGUCCGGAAUCAUUGGGCGUAAAGAGCUCGUAGGCGGCUUAGUAAGUCGGGUGUGAAACCUCCAGGCUCAACCUGGAGACGCCACCCGAUACUGCUAUAGCUAGAGUCCAGUAGGGGAGUGCGGAAUUUCCGGUGUAGCGGUGAAAUGCGCAGAUAUCGGAAGGAACACCAGCGGCGAAGGCGGCACUCUGGGCUGGAACUGACGCUCAGGAGCGAAAGCGUGGGUAGCGAACAGGAUUAGAUACCCUGGUAGUCCACGCCGUAAACGUUGGGCACUAGGUGUGGGGUCUAUUCAACGGACUCCGUGCCGUAGCUAACGCAUUAAGUGCCCCGCCUGGGGAGUACGGCCGCAAGGCUA